rnacentral:rRNA from 1 species
UACGUAGGGUGCAAGCGUUGUCCGGAAUUAUUGGGCGUAAAGAGCUCGUAGGCGGCUUGUCGCGUCGACUGUGAAAUCCCGCGGCUCAACUGCGGGUCUGCAGUCGAUACGGGCAGGCUAGAGUUCGGUAGGGGAGACUGGAAUUCCUGGUGUAGCGGUGAAAUGCGCAGAUAUCAGGAGGAACACCGGUGGCGAAGGCG